rnacentral:rRNA from 1 species
GACGAACGCUGGCGGCGUGCUUAACACAUGCAAGUCGAACGAUGAAGAAAAGAAUCGAAGCUUCGGCAGAAAUUCAUUUCGGAUUAGUGGCAGACGGGUGAGUAACGCGUGAGCAACCUACCUCUUACAAAGGGAUAGCCUCGGGAAACCGGGAUUAAUACCAUAUAUCAUUGCGACGAAGCAUUUCGAUGCAAUCAAAGCUACGGCGGUAAGAGAUGGGCUCGCGUCCCAUUAACCGGAUGGUGAGGUAACGGCUCACCAUAGUGACGAUGGGUAACCGGCCUGAGAGGGUGAACGGUCACACUGGAACUGAGACACGGUCCAGACUCCUACGGGAGGCAGCAGUGGGGAAUAUUGCACAAUGGAGGGAACUCUGAUGCAGCGACGCCGCGUGAGUGAUGAAGGAAUUCGUUUCGUAAAACUCUGUUCUAUGGGAAGAAAAGGACUGUACCAUAGGAGAAAGCUCCGGCUAAAUACGUG